UGGGGGGGGCGGGGUAAAGGGGGGCCACAUAGUAUAGAGGAAGCCUUCCUAAUUUCUGAUUUGUGCUGCCACCCUCCUCUUCUUUAAAACCCCCUCCUCCCUUGUGUUAUUAGCAUCUUCAGGUGUCAUUCUUGCCAGAAGGUGUUCUUGCGAGAGAUCAGGGUGGCAGGCUGCAGAACCAGCUAGCAAAUCCGUAACUUGCUGUUCUUGCAAAUUAUAUAACCACUGGGGCAUUCAGUCCCACCAGCCCUCUAGACUCAGCAAGAGGGGGAAAGGGACAAAGUAGGAUUGGGAUGCAUCUUGCACAGCUGACCUGCUGACCUAUAUCCCCGUGCCCCCCCUAGAGGGUCACCCCCUACCCAUUCUUCUUUGAACCAACCUCUUGUCUAUCCCUCCAUCUCUUUGGAGCUUUAAUGGGGGAGGGAGAAGAGGUGAGGCCCAAACACUCAACUCACAUCCUGCACGCAGGCACUAGGUUAUAUAACAGUCUGAAUGGAAAAAGGAAGGUCAGAGAUGGAGGCAUCCUUUAGCUAACACAGCAGUAGUAAUAGCUUCCAGAAAUUAUAUGCAUUUGCAGACUUUAACCUCAGAUGUAGCAUCUGCUCCUCAGGGGUACCAAUCUUUGUGUGAGCUAGGGAGAAAACGAAUGUGUAACUAUGCCUGGUAGAUGAGUGAUUUGAAAAUGGGAAAUGUUUGGGUUUUCAGAUGAUGUAAUGGAGUUGGCAGAAUAUGCAAGUCGGCUCCCAGAGUGUAAGCAGCAAGAAAAUUGGAGCUGGCAUCCAGUAUUAAUGUUGCAUAAAUUACAAUAUCGGAAAGAAAUUAACCUACACACUAGGUGAUUAUGCCUUUUUAAUACUUAAAGUAUAAAGGCACACAACUCAAAAGGAAAAGCAAACAUCAUCACCUUAUAAUUAGCAUUUUCAAACCCAAGGACACUUGAGUGGAGUUCUUGGCAUGGGGUGAAAUGGGGAGCUUUUUGAUUUGGGACGUGCUUUCCAGAGAGCCAGCAGGGUUAGCUUCCAGAUAGCCAGUUUUUUGAAGUGGCCAGAGACGGUGGUCUGGAUUCUCAUGACAUUGAGGUGACCUCAUGAGGCAGUAUUUAGGUAGACUUGAGACUUGCUGAAUUCCAUACUCCUGGGAAUGCAUGUGUGAAUGGACUGUGUCCUGCUAGUACCUUAGUGCCAGAGCUUCUAAAACCAGAUGUGCGACUUUAUAAUCUCAAAGACAACCUUCCCUUUGCCUGAAGACUGGGCAGAGAGUGUUAGCAGUUUUAAUGAAACUGUUCCAUUUUCUAGGUGGUAUUAAUGAUGUCUAGUGUCACUCAGUCCCAUCUUCACAGCACAAUGAAAGAGAAAAAAAAGAAAGGCAAGAGGCAACAUGGGAAGUAAGAAUGAAGCGGAAAAAACCACAGCGAAUCUUUAAUUUAACAAGGCUUUCAGGGACUUCAGGGAGCCAUGAACAUUGUGACAUAACUGUUGUUAAAAACCCUUUUCCAGAACCUCGUUAUUCUAUGCAUGCCAGAAGCUUACAUAUUUUACUUCACUAAAGUUAUCCUCACAGGGCUGGUGCCACACAGUCAGUUUGGAACACCAGUGCUGAAGGUUGAAGGCUUUUAGGGCAGGCCAACCAAAGGGAAAAAUCGAAACCAGAAAGAUGGGAUUAACACUGAAAAAAGCUCAGUUGGGUUGAGAUCGAACCCCCUGGAAGCUCAGCUUAGAUUGACUUAAAAUCAGUUAACAAGCCCUGUAGUUUAUUUGUAGCCCUGAGGACGUCUAGAACCACGUAAGUCUUUGACUUUGAAAGUGCUUUGCCUCUAGUUCCUGCUUCAGUCUUGCCUGAUUCACUUUCUGCUUGGUGUUCUUGCUGGGCAAUUUAGUGCCCUUUCUAGAGACUGAUUCUCAGAUCAGCCUUUCUUACGUGGACUCUGCUUGCUUUUCAAAGCGAACAAAUAAUGCCCUGUAGUUUGAGAGAACUACUGGCUGGGAUAAAAUCCUUUGCCAGAGGGAUGGAAUAAUUAUUUUUUAAACUAAGGGACUUUAAUUUUCCAGUAAAUUGCUCAUAAAAACAUUUAUAAUUAUACCCUUUAAAAAUGUAAUAGAAUAAUUUUAGAAAAUGCAUUUGAUGAUAGUUAUGAUAACCUUUUCUGUUGCUUCCCCCAUAUUUCUUAAAAAGAAUUGAAUUAUUAAUCUAGAAGUUGAAUCUUGAGUGGCUAAACACAUUUGUAAGCAGACACUUUUUAUGUUAGUCACCUGCUGGAAUUUUCCAAAACCUACUGGCAUUAGAAGGAGCCCUUGGCUUUAAACGAAGUCUCUGUGGAAUUGAUACAUGGAGCCUGCUUGGAAGCCCCCUAAUGAUGAGGCCCUUAAGUGUGUGUUUUCAAGGAAGCAGAGGUGGGGGCUCAGCAUAUAUUGCUUCUCCCACAGCAGUCUUCUAAGUGGAAUGUAGGGAGGUGGGAGAAGUUUCUUGGCAAUACUUGUACCUCUAGAUAAAUAUUCCAAGGAUUUUUGGUGACAGCUGAAUUGCUUGUGGAAGCAAACCUUUGGAAUACCAGUGGGACAAGCCUGUGACCUCUUCCUCUCGAACUACACUCUUGCCUCUUCUCCAUUAAAAUGCAUGUUUUUCUCCCAUUUUUCGCCUUUAGGAAAUUGUGGUGUGAUAUUGGAAGGACAGACUGAAUUGGAAUUCCCUGAAAUUUCUAUUCAUGUGGUAUCAUCUCUAAAAGCAUAGGUCACUCUUAAGUAUGCUCUCCUCCCCCACCCCGGCUCCCUCCAUCCCUGUAUCUUCCCCAUCUACUUGAUGAAUUGUACUUCUUAGCUUAUAAAUAUACUUCUGUGUCUGUGGAAGCAAAAUCUAUAACUGCUUUUCAGUAGUCUGGGGAAAGUUGUAAUGUGACUGCCCCAUGAGCCAAAAUAAUAAUAUAUAUAGAGAGAGAGAGAAAGAGAGAGAGAAAAUGAGACUCUCUUAAAGCCAAGUAGACUGCCGCUCACCUUUUUUGUCUUCCAUGAGCCACUGUACAUGGAUCCGGGGUAGAUAUCGCCUGUUCCUGACUCAUUCAUCCCAGAUUAGUGAUACGUGUUUCCAGGGCAAGGGAGUCUGUUUUGAAAGGUCUUCAGGUGCUGAAGUGAACACUAACCUAAAAUGUGGACUAUCUUUCUGAAUAUUCAUAUUGUCUUCCUUACUGAGGAUUGAGAAGCAGUCUGUCUUGCUCUUUCUCUGAUGUUUUCUACUGUUAGAAGAAGGUUAUGUAUAUGGAUAUAUAUCAUAGCAGGAAGUGUUGGUUAGAAAAUGAAGUGUUAAAAUUUUCACCCAUUUUACUAAGCUAUAUGUUUAGGAAAAUAAAAUUGAAUCAUUUUAAAUUAAUGCUUGAAACAACUUCUCCAGAUAAUCAGUGUUUGUUGAUUUAUGUGAAGUAAACCAUGAUUUUUUUUUUUUUCUGUAAGAGUACGAAGGCAUUACUGGUGAAUGGGUUUUUCUGGCUAAUGUUAGGUUAACCAGAAAUAUUUUAUUUUGUCUUUUUCUCGUUGAGCAUAUUUUUUAAAUGUCCUGGUCCCCCUUCCUACUCUAGACAGAACAUUGAGAAUGUAAUUGAAUCUUUCUUUGAGGGUUGGGGAUUUUAUGGUGCCACAGGGUCACUGUUCUGAAGAUGAAUUCUGAUUGUACAUUGUAGAACUGUAAAUGAAGAUGGUGUCAGCGGUUGGACUUAAUCUGUCCUGAUCCCAGCUUGGAAAUUGUUUUCUUUUUUUGUUACAGCCUUGAUAUUAGUAUGUUUUGUUAUUUGCCUCCCUUGUUCUCUAAGUUGCAAAAUAGAAGAUUCAGUUCAAUGAGAUGAUUCCGGUUAAUUGAGAUUUUUACUUUAUAAGAACAUUUUAAUCUGAAUCAAGAACCUUAAUUCUUUCUCUAGUUAUAGAGGAUGUAAAAUCUUGUUCUGAUAUUCAAGAUUUACAAAUAAGUUAUACAUCCUGUUACCAAAGCACCGUGUAACUUCUCCCUUCUGUGAUGGUAGAUAGAAAUGCCUGCUUAUUUGCCUCUUCCUUAAGAUAUGUGGAAGGGGUACCUUUGGUAGACGACUCUAAAUUCAGGAAAUUAGGAAACUCAAGGGUGACAAAGAAAACUUUGUGGCUUUCCCCCACAGGAAUAGUAGUCUCUUUCCAAGCUUAGGCCUUUGUUCACUGGACCAGUCUGCAGAGCAUCCUUCGGAUCCCACCCUCAGGGGCUGACCCUCUCAGGGCUGGCCCACUGGACUCAGUGAUAUUCUUCAGUUAUUUUAUGAUAUAUUUGAUAUCACAGUGCUGAAAAUUCAGAUGGGGAGUCUUGGUGUUCUUUUUUGACAGCCCAACUAUUAUUAUUAUUAUUACUACUGUUACUAUUAUUUUUUUUCUUUUGGAGUAAAGACAUCAAGGAGAUUGUCCAAAGAAAUUCUUAGAAGAGGGGGCUGGGGCAUGAUGAGGAGUACAUGUGCCACAGCUCAUGGUUUAGAACGCCUCGCUUUUUCCUCCAGCUUUUACAUGCUAUUGUUAAGAGGAAUUACAGGUAACAAUUCCUUGGCGUUGGUGAAAGAACAGAUUUCUUUUUUCCUAACAGAUGUUUAUAGUCUUAACUAAUAUGUCGUUAUUACACACUGUCACCAUCACAUCCCCCGGAACAUUGACAGUGACGGUUUCCAGGUGACUGUCUUGUCCAUGGAACUACAGCCCUGGUCGGCAGCUGAGGAUCCCUCUGCAGUACCUACUCACCACCAAGAGCACAGAUUUCCCUCCCACACGAAGGCACUGGCGAACUGCAGAGACCCCACAGAGCUUCCGUACCUGUGCUGUGUUCUCUGAAGUUCAGAACAUGACUAGGGAUGAUUAUGGUGUAGGGGAUGUACAAUCUCUCAGCCUGGAAUCAUCUCUCUCCGUGUUUUGGGAUAUUUGAGAUUUGAUUUUGAACUCUGAAAGUUCAGUGAAAUAAUCAGAAAGUUCCUGUGUCCGUGAACAUACCAUACGAGGUGAAACUUUUCUGGGGUGCCAGGAAGGGUGCCACUGAGAUUAGGAUCCUUGAGCCUGUGAAAGAGGCAGCGCUCUGUUAAAAAUACCUAGCUUACUUCGGGGGAGGAUUUGGCUGAAUACUGAUGAAGUUUAUGAAAUAUGAAUGUAGUGAAGUUGCUGUACGUAAGUGGUAGGCGUGUGUGAAAGAAGUAAGAAGAAAUAAAAUUGUGUAUAAAUGACACUCUGAAACUUGAUGGAAUUGUAUACGUGACAAGAAUGGUGACACUGGGUCUGAAUUUAAUGGGAAAAAAUAAACUGGUUUAAAAAUCUGUAUGUCAAACUAGGUGCGUGACUGAAAAUUACAGUAUAAAAUCAUUUGACUUAGUUUAUAAGCAAGGAAUGUCACCAAAGAUAAACAGGCAGGUUGCAAAGAAUAGAGGUGAAACAGAAUGGGGGAAAAAAUGAAGGACCAACACUUGAAUUUAUAAUGAGGUAUGGAAAUCACUGUUUUAAAUAAUCCGGACUAUUAACAACUGUGCUGCUAGGUGGAGAAUUAGUUAUAGCCAAACAAAAGGCAUAAAUAUGAAUUUUAGGUUAUGUGGGAGAAAUCCUCUUGAUCCCCAAAGCAUAAAUGCAUGUACUGAGAAGCAAAGCUGCACACGAUGUAAUUUUUUCUGUCUUAUCCUGAUUAAUUGACAGCCAACUGUAUGCCUCUUUCCUGAAGGUGACUUUACAAUCUCCAGACACAGACAUUUCUCUGAGAAGUGGAGUGAAGGAAGGAGAACCACAAGCUAAAGGCAAUGAAAAGAGGAAAAGUUGACACUUUGAGAAGUUAUGACGAACUUGUCGAGAAUGCCAAUUGACAAAGGCAGUUUUAGAGAAACCUGAAGAAAUGGACAAAGACGGAGAAAAGACAACCAGAUGUGAGUCUGCCCUUCCAGAAGCAAGGAGGCUCAUAGCAUCCCAUAUGAUCCCUGCCGGUCACGGGGAGGAGUGACUGUGUAGAAGUUAAUGGAUUUUCAACAUACAAAUCACAGAAGAAAGAAGGGUAUAUUUAGCAAGUCUAUAAACUCUUAAAUAAACUGCAUUGCUUUUCGUUUUCACUGUGUAAUGAUAAAGCCAGUGGCUGAUAACGAGGGCAUGGUAACAAGGUAGUCUGUUUUCCCAGGGACAUUUGUGUGACGGAGACGUUAUAUAUCUGAAAGGACAAGGCAGCUAGGAGGGUGAACUGCCCGUAACUCUCAAUUGUCCAGGUAAUGAAGCAUGGGAAAGCAAAGGCAAAUGAAAUACUUUGAUAAUCACAGAUGAUUCUUCUUUUAGUGAUCAUAUUAGUUUGACUUGAUGACAAGUGUGAAAUUGCCAGUGUUGUAUUUUACCAUUUCUGGCAUUUAGCAUGUUUAUGUAGAAAGAACGAACCCAGGCACUUUCAAUAGACCAGGCCAUUAACCCAGAAGAUGCAAAAUUCACUGUGAAGGAUAGAGGUUGAAGAUCAAUGAGGUCUGCACAUUUCUCCAGGCCCUGCAGGGAAUCAGAGGGAGAACUGAUGCUGCACUGACCUGUCUCCUGAAAGCUCAAAAGCUCGCUUUGUAAUCAGUUGUUUGGGGGAGUGGGGUGGAGGGUGUUAGCUAUGCGGCCUCGCUCUCCACGCUGCCCCUGGUCAUGUUUUAUUAGACUAACGCCCGUGAGAUCCAGAAGGGUCCUCAUGAAUCAUCUGGCUGAGCUCUCUGUUUAAACUGAUGCUCACCGAGAUAUAAUCAUGUAUCUGAGGUCCCAUUCCUAGUAAGUAGCUAGGAUGUGACUAGAAUACAGGUCUCCUACUUGCCUACCUAUGUUCCUUCCACUUGUGUGCUGUGUCAGGAUGCUCAGAAGUUCCAGUAAAAUGAAGUUCCUACCCCCCAGGAAAACCUCUGGAGGCUAGUAUGAUGUAUAUCUAAGUUAGUCCAGCAUAAGUAGUGGAACAUUGUCAAUCCCCACUGGGCAUUUUUAUUAAUGAAAACUUAGCCAAUGAGCUUGUCAUAGUGGGAAUUCUAUGUCACUAAGUCACUCUAAAGCACAAUAAGGACAGUGCUGGUGUCUCAUGGGCUGAUUUACUGUAAAGCAAAAUAUAGGAUGUGGAGUUGAGCAUCUUUUACUUAAUGCUUUAGAGAGGAGUUAUGCUUGUUGUAACUAUAUGUAGUGUGUGGGGGGAUGCCUUUCAGCUGCAUCCUCUUUCCUCAAGGCAGAGGAUUUAAUACCAUCUGUAAGAGAAAAGCUCAGGUCCGUGAAUGGAAUACUAUGAAGCCAGUAAAAAUCAUGUCGUAGUAGAAAAAUAUUUCUUGUUUAUGAUAGACUGCUUAAUCAAUUAAUAGCUUUCAUAGUAGUGUCCAUAGAACAUCAUUUUUAUAAAAACAUGUGUCCUGGGGGGAGAGUUUGUGUGUGUGUCUGUGUGUCUGUGUAUUAACAUGGAUCCAUAUAUACCUAACUGAUGAAAUGGAAAAGUGGUCAUCUCUGCAUGGUGGGAUUAUCUGUGAGUUUCAUUUUCUUUGUGCUUUUUUUUUUUUUUUUUUUGUAUUUUCUGAGUUCCCUGCAUUGUGCAUGUAUUAUUUUGUAACUAGAAAAAAAUAAAUCAUAAUUAUUUUCAAAAAAGAUUGUUUGUGUGUUGUGAAACUGGGAUACUUUGAAGGACCUAAGUCUGAAUUUAGUAUGUUACACAGAAUUUCUUGAUGUUUCAGCACUGGCCAAAUUUACUGACCCAAAGAACUGUACCUUUUACUGUCACUUUCAGCCAGGAAGACAAGAACCACUCAACUUUGAAUAUGAAAAAGAAUGUCCUAAUAUUGGAAUUUCUGCUCUUUUAAGGCAAUGUCUGUCGAGCUUAUACUAUGACCCACAGGGAGGAAAACAUACUAUCUUGUGAGCCAUACACAUGUACACACACCCACAUACUCUCUUGAAAUAAACUUUUCACAUAAGAUAUUUCUCCAUUACCUGGGAUGGGCUGUUCUUUUUGCUCUGUUAUUUAAAGACAAAGCAUAAGUCACGAGCCACCAAACCGGUUUCCUGACUUAUUUACAGGCCACUGUCCUGGGCAUGAGGUCGACGCAGCCUUCCUUCGAGCCAUGGCCUGUGGUGGUGGGGGGGAUUCAUUCCACAGUAACUGAUGUUGAAUUCCAGGUGUUACUCAUUAUGAUUUCAGGGAGGAGGUGGGGGAGGGAAAAUAAUUCAAAGACUUUUUUGCAAUCCUAUGACAUUUUUAUGCCACUUUUAGCAUGUGCUCAUUCAUAUCCUAUUACAUUUAGACAUGCAUCUGCCUAGACUGGCUUAGAAUGUAAAUUCUGGGAUUCCCCUUUGCUUGGAACUAUGUAAUAGCAUGGGGGUGGCAUUCUUUCAUUCAGCAAAUAUUUACUGAGCAUCAUCUAAGUACCAGACUUGAUGCUAAUCUGUCGGGAUAAAGCAUGAACAGGAGAGUCAUCCCUGCCUUCUUGGAUCUUACAUGCUAGUGAUGGCAUCUCUCACUAUAGCCUAGGUUGGUUUUGACCAGACACUUCUGAUGGUUCUCCUCUACUUGUGUCUCAGACUUGGAUUUUGUCCAACUUGUAUCCUUUAUAUGUACCUUUUCCUGUUCCCUCCCCUCCCCAGUCCCCACUCUUCUGUCCAAAUCUCUCUUUUCUAUUUGCUAUUCAAAUCCUACAGUCAUUUUAGCUGCAGAUAGGGAACCCCCCCCCCCGGCCCCCAUUGCAGUUCCCACACCUGUCUUUUACAGGAGUCAGUCACAUGAGCUUUGCUCAUUCAAUCAACAUGUAACCCCUUCCUUUGUCAGGUUCCUCUUACCCUGUCUUAUAAUGAUAUUUCUUGGGUAGAAGCCUAGUCUCCCCAAAAAGACCAGUACUAUGGUUUAUUCUUUUAUCCCUGCACAGUACCUUGCCAAAAGUAGGUGCUCAUUAACUGUGCAGAUAAUCUUUCUCACUUUGCCCUGCAGAGCUAUUUUUUUUUUUUUUUUAAGUAGAUCCAGCUCUGCACUUCCCUACUCUGCAAGCACAGCUUCUACUUACUUAGACUUCUAGCUGGGCCUUAGGCUCACACCCACCCGCCCCUGUUUUCCCAUUUCUGUCUCUUGGAUCCACCAGUCCUCUUCAAUUGCAGGCGCAGGCCUGCUACAGUCUUGAACAACUCAGACCAAGGCUGGACGUGUUGGGAGAUGGCAUGCACGGUUGUUACAAGCCUGCUGGGAGUGAGGCAGAGGCCCAGGUAUGCUCUGUGCUAGCUGUGGGACCUUAGGUAAGUCCUUUAACCACUUGGUCUGCUGCUUUUGUCGCUGAAAAACUGACGAUGGUGCUGAUGAUGCCACUUCCUAGUUGACUGAGCGCAACACCUGAUAACAUGCAUGGGUGGUACCUGGCAGGAUGCCUGGCAGUAUGGAGUAUAGCCCCAGUGAUGGUGGUGAUGAUGGGGCACAGACAGGAACAGUAGGCCCUCUUGCCUCCCUUUCCUCUGUCUUCACACAUCUUCAGCUCUCUGCAACUUUUUUGGUUCCAAUCAGUUGCUCUGAAAUAAGCAGGGAGUCCCAGGGCAUCAGUGUCCUAAAACCUCCCUUUCCUGGACUAGAUCCUCAGCUCAGCUGUCAUGGGCCGGGUCUUGUCAAUUGAGGACAAAUCACUUAAAUUCAACCCUGUCAGCCACUUAUUGGGAUUCCCUGGGAUUAUACCCCACCCCUCGAAGUAACCUCGAGGAGGUGCCAGGUCAGCCUGUUUCCUUCCCUCUGUUUUCUACCUUGUAGCUGCCUUCUCUAGACAUUGAGGCCUGGGGAGAUCCUUCAUUCCCACUUUCCUGUGGUGCUCUCUCCUGCUUCAUUCCUCAGCAACCCAACAUUCUUUGCCCUCCCUUCCGCUUUACUCACUUUUUCCUCUCUGCCAAAGAAAAUCACAUUGGAGAAGCUUGUCCGCAAGAGUUCCAUUCAACUUGCUCUACAUUAAUGCUCCACUAUGGUGACCCACUGCUGAGUCUUUCACUUGUAAUGUAAUCUAAUAAUUUACAUGCACUUUGCAAGCAAUACUCUCGGAGACUCACAACCUGCUUGAAAUUGCUCUGCUGUUACAGUAUUUGAGCUGAUGAGAGAGCAGCAUGAGAAAAAGUAGUUAUUGGUACCACAGUGGUAUUGGGUAAGCCCAGGGAAAUAAUGUUUGCACAACGUGAGGGUGUGCUGAUGGUUUGUAAUAUCCUUUCUUUGAGAAUCAAUUAAACUUGCUAAAGGUCUUUUAUUGAUUUGGGCUGUAAUUGGACUAGGAUAGGUCAAAGAGACAUAGAGGUAGAAGCAUAGCAAGCUAGAGGAAGUGAACCAAGAAUGGAAUCCAGAUUUUCUGGGAUGCUGUGAAAAUGUUUCAAUUUUGAUAUAUUACAUGACUUUUACAGAAUUAAUCGGCACUGUGAUUAGGUGGUUUUAUUUCUUCACUCAAACAUGUUAGAUGCUGAUUCUAAUAUGCAGUAGUAAUGAAAAUAGAGUAAUGCUAUAAUAAUAGUGCCAUUGUAAAGUGAAUUGCACCAUUAAGCAUCUAUUUUGUCUAAUUUGUAUUGUGAUAGUGUGAGUGAUACACACACAUACAGACUUAGAGUAGCUGGUCUUUGAGAAACAGACUGUAGCUGAGUAGCUCCAUUCCUAUAAUACUGAACAGUUAGUGAAUGGAAAUAAGCCACUGUUCAGUGAAAAAGUGAGUUCUUAUAUAUCUAAAUAUGAAUGUAUAUGUAUGUACAUAUACAUGGACACACAUACACAUGUGCAUUUACAUAUCCACACAGACACACAUGCAUAGUGUGCCUGGCAUCUGUCAGGCAGAUUGAGGAUGAGACAUAUAUGAAUGUGACAUUAAAGUGCUUGCCUUGGGUUGCAUUUUAGCAUGUUGGCUAGCCUGCCUGGGGACAGAUACCAAAUCAAUAAUAGUCUCUCGGUCAGGAUUUGAAAACAAGGUUUUGUGUAUUGUUUCCACCUUUAUCCUCAUUUCCAUGUCUGAGAACCUCAAUAUUUCUCAAGUUGGAAAGAAGCACUAGACCUAGGAAUUAUAGUUAUUUUAUUUUGUCACUUGUCUUCUAAGGAGGGACAUUGGCCAAACAAUUUCUUCCACAGAGGCAUAUUUUUAUGCCUUAAGUCAUAAGCUAACCCUGGAACACAAACAGGAUCUGAGAAGGCAGCAUCAAAUGGGAUAUGUAAAUUAAAAAGUCCAAGAAUCUGCUAUACUAUGACUUGAUCCCUGUGAUUAUCCCUUUGCCUCAGGAGGACUGGCUUUAGGGGGUAGAUUGGCAGUAAUUUUUGCAUGAGUCUCCAACCUCUAGGAUGGUUUCUCCAGGGAGUUCCUAAAGACUUACCUGGUCCAUCUCCAGUUGGUCCUGCUGCCGUCAAGACCCUCUCUCCAUGUUUUCCUGCAGUGGCCAUUUAGAAAAGAUUUUACUGGUAGUCUCCACCUGUCACUUAUCCCACACCAGGAUUUUGCUUCCACAGCUCUGUCAACACUAUCCCCUGCUAACCUGGAAUCUGAGAAAGACUUUAUUCAAAGAGUAAAAAUUUUACGUAGUUUAGAAUAUGUUUCAAUUUCAUAUAUAUAAUACUUGCUCUGAGGACCAAAAUGUUGAAAUCAAAUUUGCAUCAUAAACAUCUGUGUGAUCCCUAUAAUGUCUUAGGUCAGUCAUGUUAGCUUUAAAGUCCAUGAGCAUUUGAGGGGAGAGUACAUAGCAUCAGUGCCUGGCAUCUGGAUGAAGAAUGUAUUUAGUGGAGAAAUUUUACUGCAAGCCUCAAUGAAAAAAUAUCAAUAUGAUAUUGUGCCUAAUAAAAUGUUAUAAUGAAAAUUACCAUGGUAUUUGACAACAUCUCUUUAUUAAUUGGUCUUUUCCAUUAUUUUCUUAGAAGCAAACAUAGUCUGGUUUUAUCGCUCAUUAGUUAUAGUCCUGAUUGAAUUCACAUUUGGUUGCUUCAGCUGGGUUUAUCUUCUGAUUGGUCUUAGUUCCUUGAGGGCAGCAUUGUAGAUUGUCUUGAGUCUUCUAUCCCAUAUCUCUUUACAAUUUUCAUGGGCAUUCAGUGAAUGCCCUCUGGAUGCCAGUGAUGUGCAGUUUAGAAUCAAUAUGUGAAAGAUGAGUCAGCUGAAGGAAAACUAGAAUGAGACAAGAAAAUCCAAUAUUCUUUGAUAGCUUCAGAGGUUUAAAGCGAUGGAAUAUAUUGCCCUCUUUCAUCGAUCCAUCGCGUAUUUACUGAGCACUUACUAUGUGCCAAAACCUGUAUCAGUCAAUGAGGGUAAAGUGGAAUAAAAGUAAUUGAUAGGCAGGAAAAACAUAUUAACCAUUUUUUUAAUGUGGAUAGUUCUAUAGAGAUGCUUAGAAAAUAUGUAAUAUUCACAAGAGGGGAAAAAAGACUUAAUGAGUUAGGGUAAGCUCACUGAGAUGGGUUUAUUUGGUAAAAUAGGAAGGGAUUUGCUUACAGGACAAAAAAAGAAGGAGGAACUUCUGGGCCAAAAUAUAUGAGGUCAAAGUUCAUGGCAAACUCAGGUUAAUGUGAAGGAGGUGUUGCAGGGUCCACACAUGGAGUCUGAUGAUAAGAACGAGGAGAUGAGAUUGGACAAAGUAAGCAGGAACCAGGCUAAGAACUUUGGACCUUUUCCUAUGGCAAAAUUUUGAGCAAGUUCUCUGGUUUCCUUUUGGUAAGGUCCUCUGUAGAGGUUCAGGGUGGAAAAUUGAUGGUGUAGAUAAAGAGGCAAGUCAGGAACUCUCUGACACAUCUAGGGAGAUACUUAAGCCUGGACCUCAGGGCAAGGAGGUGGACACUGAGGUAGAAUUUCUCAAGAGGUGAACUGGAGGUGCAUGAUGGAAGUAAUGAAAGAACUCAGGUCCAGAGUUGAACGGAAUUGUUGGCUGGGACAUGUUUAAGGUGGGAUAAAAAGACAGGAGAAUGCUUGGGUUCCAUAUUGGAUGGGUGGAUUGAAGGUGUUGGGGAAGUGUGAUGGGCAGCUGGAAAGGUGGGUCUGGCAGAGCGCAUGUUACCAUGUUGCCUGUGGGAUUAGGAAAAACAGCCUUUUAACAAGCACACCCUGAGCUGAGGACAGGCAGCUGGGUUGGUGACACGGAACUCUAGUUCUGAGAAGAGUUUUUGAUGGGAUAGUGGGUGAGAUUUUUAUACCAGGUCAUGUUCAUGGAUUUCAAAAUGAUAUCUGGAGAAAAUAAGCCUGAGGUCCAAAUGGGUGUGGUUAAGAAGAUAGAGGGAACGGACAGAGAACAGUAUCUAAAAAAGUCUGGAUUCAGACCUGGAGAUCCUACAUUUACAAAAGGCAUAAAAAGACAAGGACAUCUUUAAGUCCAGAGUGAGGUUCUGAUACACUUUGCUACCUCAGGUUGCUGCUGGGCUUUAUUGGCUUUGAUGAUGGUUUCCUUCCCAACAUGUCUAAUUGAUGAUUGAAGAAUUACUGCCCCCCCCCCUUUUUUUUAAGCUUUCUACACAGCCUAGCAUUGAUUUAUCCUGUCUCUAAAGGGAAUCUGCCUCACACUUGGCAGAACCUCAAGGUUGGGAGAAAUGGAAUGAAUAGUAGCUGUGGAGAGGCCUCCACAUUGCCCUGGGAGAAAGGCUUCGUGGGAGAGAAAGUUGAAAGAGGGUCUUAAGGGGUGUGAGAGCUUCAAAGGAUGAGUCUAACCAUGGGAAUCUAAGUGGAAGAUUUUUUUUAAGUUGACCAGGACGAGAAAAAGAAAUGCACAAAUGUCUGUUGGCAGGCAGAUGAUGAUUUUGAUUACAAUCAGAGUAGGAUUGCUGCAUUGUGAAUUUUUGGCCCUCCUCUUCUCAAUGGGUUUUCACAUACACAGCAGCCUGUGUAAUGUCACAGCUCAUGGAGGGACUCAAGAAGUGUCGUGUAAUUAAGGGGACCUGCUGAUUUAAGGCAACUGGGAUACUAGCAGGCUAAACUUAGCUUUUAACUCCAGCUAGUGUGACAGGAGGGGACUUUGCCUGUGGGAAGGGCCAUCUCUUUGCUUGUGGAGGUGGUAGCCGACUCCCUAUUGUUUUUCAGUGAGCUCUGAUUAAAUGCUUUCCCUGUAGAUAUUCCACUAAUAUGUCAUGUGAAUUAUUUGUGUUAUCUCUGUGCUGUGAAAUUAGAGGCCUUCACCCACAGUGUGGUAAGUAGAUUAAAACGAAAGCCUGUUUUUUUAUGGUAUGGGGGAAACUGGGCAAAUAUCAGGGAACUAUUUUGUGUGUGUUUGAUCUGACGGUGGGGAGGUUUCGGGAUGCCAGUGUCUUCUGAAAUCUGAAAGCUGAGCUCUGGCUGGAGUUUUCUUCAAAGGGCUUUAUAUUUUAUCCGUUGGCACUUCUUAGGGGGAAGGAAGGUUUGGAGUGGGAGAUUCUGUGAUGUUUCUUUUCUUGCUGCUGUUUUCUUCUCCUUUUUAACUUUGCAGAAAGCCCUUCCAGUUCUACGGUCAGACCCCGUUCAGGACAUUGGUGGCCAAACAGUCCCCUUUUGUUAAGCGAGCGUCCUAUUUUUGUUUCUCUUGAAAGGUGCCCUUCAGGACAGCAGAGUCUUUCUUUGAGCUGUUUAGAAUCGAGCUCUGAAGAAACCUAAACAGAAAUCAUUCUAAACCCAGGCCAAGUGCCUCCUUUGCCUAGCGAGGCAAAGCUAAAACCACACUAGAUGAAAUCUAACCAGCUGGUUACCUGAGAACCACCUUGGGGAGUUCUCCAGCUUGACUUCUCCCACUUUGGCCACCAUCCCAAUAGCCAUGAAAGCUGAGGGUCACGGCCUUUCUGUGCAGAGAUGCAGGGAGAGAGCUGUGGCUCCGGUGAAGAAGGGGAGGUUGGGCUGUGUGUCAGCUUGCAAAAUGCUGAGCAUCUCUCUAUAAGGAUUCUGAAUAGAAAUGGGUCAGAGCAGAUAUUUAUGAUCAUCGGUCUCUUUAUCUUAGAAUAGUGCAAUUUUCCCUCUUUAUUGCUUAAGCUUUCAGUAAGUUCAUUUUAUUCGAUUUAUAUAUAUAUCUCAAAGGUAAACCACUUUCAUAGCUUUAACCCAUCUCACAUACCUCUAUUAUUUUCAGUUCUCCCUUUUUCUUCCACAAAUUAGGUAAACCGAGUCAUUUGAGAAAGUUGGGCAUAGCUAGCCUGUGGUCAUUUAGAGCCUGAGCCUUUUAAGGUUAUUUUCUUUUAUUCUGUUAUAAUAGAUAUGGGGCUGAAACCUCUAUCAUUUGAAAGAGGAUCUUUGUUCCUUAACCAAAGAUCUUCUGGGUUAGGGUUCAGACAGGCUUCACUGCUCAGGUACUUCAGUUUUGGAAUUUUUCUUCCCAUUUUACCUAUCACCUGGGUCAUUCAGGUGGAAUAGGGGAAGAGUUGGCCUUUGUUAGAAAAAGAAAGACUGGCUAGACAAGUUUGAUCCCUAGCGGCAGUUUGGAGCCUUCUUGAAUGUGAGGUCAUCAGUACAUUUAAAAUCUGAGCUUCCACACAGUGGUCAGUGAAGCUCCUGUGCCUCCCCAUUAACUGCGCUAUUUUCCAUGUGUUUCCAGAGCAGGAGGCACCUGCCUCUUGGGGAACCCCCAGCAUCAUGGGGUACCUAUCUAACUGACCCCUAUGUAUACAGACAACUAAAAAGUGAAGUGGUUUGGAGGUAGGCAUCAUCUUAAGGCUAAAGUCAUACAUUUUAGAAAGUUAAGGACUGGUUCUGUGACAGGGAAGUUGAGCUAAAUAUGCAGUUCUAUUUUAAUUUUCAUUUUAUGCCAAGGCAAAAGCAUUGGGAGAUAGGCUAUAAAUGUAUAAGUAAGUCACUACAAGAAUAGCCCCUUGCAAAAUGCAGAUUUAGGAAGGCUAAAUAUUUUCUCACAUAUUUUAAUGCACAUGAAUAACUAACCCUUGAUCGAGAUCCUAAGAAAUGGACGUUGUAUAACUACUUAACCUUGAUUACGAUUAUGAAUUGUGCAGAGAUCUAUAAACUGUUAAUUAACUAUUUGGUUAUCUUAGCUUGGGCUUCAGUAAUAAAAUGCCAUAGACUGGUAGCAUAAACCAAAGACAUUUAUUUUGUCAUGGUUCUGGAGGGUGGCAAGUUCAGAACUAGGUGCUGGAAGAUUUGGUUCGUGGUGAAGAUCCCCUUCUUGACUUGUAGGUGACCAUCUUUUUACUGUCUCCUCAAAUUGUAGAGGGAGAAAAUUCUGAUGUCUCUUCCUCUAUGUGAGGCACUAAUCCCAUCAUGCGAACCCUGCCCUCAUGACCUCAUCUGGAACCUCAUUGUCCCCCUAGAGACCUCACCUCUUUAGACUAUCACAUCAGGUGUUUGGGUGUCAAAAAGUUGUCUAAAAUUUUCCAAAAAAAAAAUGUUUAAAAUUCUUAACUUGCUCACUUGCUCAACUGUCUGUUUAAACAGAGUCCUGUUUUUUGUGUCUUUUACUGGGGACAUGGUUGUGCCUCCCAGGUGCCCCACUACUCUUGGUACUCUUGAAAGCUACAGUAGUAAUGCUCAAGAUUAUUAAGGCUAUGGUGUCAUUGUUUUAAAUUAGUGAGUGUGAUUUUUUUUGUAAUUCCAAAACAAGUUCCUUGAUAUUCUGCAUAAUUGGAUCACAUUUUAAUUUCGUGGCAAAUAAAGAUCUAUUUUACAUUUCUAUUAGAAAGACAAGCCCCUGUGGCUAGGCUGAAUUAGAAUGUUUGGUUGUACUGGGGCAGCAAGUCUUUUAGAGUUGAUUCAGCUUCUUAAAAACUUAUUAUGGGGGCCUCCCCAGUGGCGCAGCGGUUGAGCGCUGGGUUGCGAAGCUGCCUGCCGCCUCUGCAGCGCCAGUUCGAUCCUGGCCAAUGGGCAAGGGUCCCACAUGGCGUGCAUAUCUCGCCUGUUGCCCGCUGCUCCCCUCAGCAGUGUACUUCGUCGGUCUGCCUGUUCUGUUCCCCGCUCUGGCUCUGGUGAAUUCUCUCACUCUCCCGCGCUUCUGACUGUACCCAGUGCUUGUAUAAAUAAAUUAAUUAAUCUUUAAAAUAAAAAAACAAACUUAUUAUGGGCCUCCCUGGUGGCGCAAGAGGUUGAGAUGCAGCCUAUGAAGCUGACCCCAGCCACUGCAGCACCAGUUUGAUCCCCAAUCAGGGAGCAACCCACAUGGUGCAGCAGACCUCUCCUCUCUCACCUGCUGCUCCCCUCAGCAGUGUAUUUCAGUCAUUCUGCCUGUUCUGUUCUCCGCUCUGUCUCUGGUGAAUCCUCUCACCCUCCGCACCUCUGGCCUAUACCCCAGUUCUUGUAUGCAUAAAUAAAUAAAUCUUUAAAAAAUACUUAUUAUGACUCUUUAGGGCAAGAGAGACCCUUCAAUCUAAAGAUUAUACACAGGCAUAGAUUUCAAGUUAAAGCAAAUAUUGAAAAGACAAGAAAAUAAAAUAUAAGCACUAAUACAGGCAGAGAGUAACUAAAUCAUGGGUUAUCUGUUAUGGCAUAUACUCCAAAAAUAUACUGUCAGGUAUAUCUGUGAAUGAAUACAUUUUAUUUUCUGUAUGGUUAAUGCCCUGAGAGUUUGCAUGAAGCAGAAUGAAGAAAAACUGCGAGAGUCCGCUGGACAAGUAAUUAAGAGGUGUGGGUUCUGAGCUCAGCUCAAGCAUUAAUUAUGUAAGUGACUUUGUGCAGUUGACUUUCACACCCUCCCUCCACCCAGGCCUUAUGUUCUUCAGGUGAACUCCAGGUAUAGCUCCAGGACUCACUGAGACACAUGUUCCUGCCAACUCUGUCAUUCUGUGACCUCAUGAUGAAGACCAACUUCUGUAAGGAUCCAUGGAAGUGCACUUUCCUUAUUCUCUCUACCUUUAUUAAAAAUUAAGGCAUAAUUUACAUGUCAUAAAAUUUCAUCCUUCAAAAUAUACAAUGCAAUGAUUUUUAGUAAAUUUAUAGAGGUAUGUAACCACCACCACAAUCUAGUCAUGGAACGUUCUGUCACCCCCAAAAGAUCCCUCUUGUCCAUUUGCUGUUACCAUUACUAAUCCCAAUCUAUGACAGCUGUUCUUCUACUUUCUGACUCUGAGAUUUGCCUUUUUUGGACAUUUCAUUUGAAUGGCAUCAUACAAUCAGUGGUCUUUUGUUCCUAGCUUCUUUGACUUAGCAUAAUGUUUUUGUAAUUCAUGUAUGUUGUAGUGAGCAUCCAAACCUCCAUCUUUUUAUCACAGAAUAAUAAUCUAUUGUGUGGAUAUAUCACUUUUUGUUUAUCUGCUCAUCUGUUGAAAGUUUCCUUUUUCUUGCUUUGCUCUUCUGUGAAAUACUGAUUCCUGAUAUAGCUGCCUCCAUUUGGGAGUCUCUCUUAGAGAACUGUAGUCUUUAUCUCAGGUUUCCCUUUGUAGAAAAGGCUGGAGUUUUGUGUUUUAAACCACUUAAAAACUUCCAAGUCCGUUGGCUGAGUUGGCUGGGUCAUUGAAAAUGUGAUUAAAUAACUACGUAGUAACUAUCAGUAAAUAUGAAAACAUUAGCUUCUAUGUUUUAUAAUUAAUGUAAAUGUGAGGUUUCCUUAAUAGGGAACUCAUCUCAAAACUCUCCCCAGUGACAGCCUGCUUGUUGUUUUACAUUUGUUUACCCACUGGGUGAUGAAUACUUGGAAGCAACAGUUAGUUAGGAACACUGGCUAUUACUCUGACUCAGUAAUGUCACUUUCAGUAUUUUCCCCUGGAAGUCAUCAGAGUGAUUAUGGACAACAAAUCCAGAAGGGAAGUAAGUACUUGCAGAGAAAUCUACUCUUUGCUUUUCAGCAGUGAAUCACAAAGAGGUAGGAGAAAAUAAGAAGACUGAAGUAAGUGUUUGUGUUGAUUUCUUUAAAAAGAUGCCAUAGACUAGACAACUUUACUGUCUGAGAUAGUUGGCAUUCUUUUGUGUUGGGAGCAAAUGUGGGAUGUGCAUUUUCAUUUGAUAAGUUCCUAGGUCAUGGAGAGUAGCAACUCGGUAUUCUGCGUGCUCCACAAAUGGCUCUCCAGCUUCAAGUUCAGCUCUGGCAAUGUGGUUAAUCUGCAGUAUGUUUUGAUCUUCAGUUGCUCCCAGGUCCACUCAAUUUCCUGGAAUCCUUCCUUGACUAGUGUGUCAUAUAGGAGGGAGGUAAAAGGCACCUUAUUUGCCUUUCUCAUCUCCAUUUGGAGGAUGUAUUUGUUGUCAUGGUGUAUUCUAAAAUUUUCAGGAAGGUUGGACCCACAAGAGGAGUGGUCCUCAUGCCUUUGUGCCCAUGUAUAUAUGUGACUAUACACACACACACAAACACACACACACACACACUCUUCCAACAGCACAGUAGGGCUAGUCCUAUGCAAGCCAGCAGCUUGACUCUGUUUUAUUUAACCCACUAAUUAUAAACAGCAUCAGUAAUAUCUUUUGGAAUUUAGACCUUAGGUUGUUUACUAUUCCCAGUGGUGGAAGUGAUGUUUAGAUUGUCACACCCUGUGCCUCUUGGUCCUGGGAAAGAUUUGCCCUGGGUGAAUACAUAACAUAGGUUAUUGUAGAGAAAGCUAAACCAGGAUGUUUAACAAAACUCAGAACCUCUCUGUGCUAAGUCUUAAGUAUGCUACCUGUGGGCAGAGAAGACUGCCCAGGGCUGAGUAAGGGUGAGCAGACUGCACUCAGCCAAGAUCACGUUCUUAUCCCUCUCCCUGAUAGCUUUAAAGAGGGAACAUAUUUCUUUUCUAAGUGGGGAAGAAACCAGUUAGAAAACAAAGCCCUUUCUCUUUGUUUGUUGGUGAGGUUAUGGGAGGAAAGUUUGGUGAUCGCUCACUUGGGCUUCUGUUAUAAUGUUGUCACAGUUGAUGGCUGCUAGGAUUGUUUAUAUAUGAGGCCGUGGAAGUGGUGAGAUCCUUGAGGACGAGGAUGCAGUGGAGUGACCUGGGUGUUUUCCAGAGACCCCAGCUCAGCACUUUGCAUACCACAGGCUCUUAACUUUUACGAAUAAACAGACAAGGAAUAAGUACUUUCUAUAUGACAUACAGUAUUUCUGAAUAUGCUGGUGUUCACAGUGGUCUCUGGCAGGAUUGCUGGAUGCCAAAGAGAAGAAAGAAAGACAGAGCCCCUGGCUCUUUCCCUCCUUCCCUUGCCCCUUGCUUCCUCUUGUCCCUCUUUCCUUCCACAACCAUGUGUUCAGUUCUUAUGCUGACCAGGCACUGUACUAGGGACUGAGGAUACAAAAGUGAAAUAAAAUACCAUUGGUAUCUUUAGUGAGUCUACAAGAGCAGUUAUCCUGGAGUUCGAUAGGCACAGUUAUGCAUGCCUACUUGUUGAUCACUCACUGUGCUCUAGGCACUGGGAAUACUGAACUCAGUCCUUGAAAUCCUCUCUGUGUCCCUAGCAGGCCAGAAUUAUGGUCCCUGGGUUGCAAACAAGAAGACUGGGGCUUAGAAGGGUUGCUUAGACGGUGAUCAGAGCUGGCUACCUUACCACCUGACUGUGAUGGGGAGCUCCUCCUCCUCUUCCCCUAGCUGUGAGAAAUGUGUCUAGAUAUAACAGCCUGGGUGCCCUGGGGUCCCUUCUCAUCUCUGUUUAUUUCUUCUCCAUCUGCAGAGGCGGGAGGAGAUUGCAGUGAAGGCGAAUGGAGCUCCUUGGGCUGUGCAGCCAGCUAAGUCAGCUGACCACAGCCGCCCCUAGAGAUUGUUUUUCUACUUUCUCUUGCCCUCUGGCUGUUCCUGUAGCAGCUUCAUCCUUCCGGUUGCAGGUUUUCCUUUCAUUCCUUAGGUAUCCUGUUGCCCUUCCUAGACCUGAGAUGGUGGUGCCAGAGAACUCCGUGAGAUUUAACUCUGUUCCUCACUGUCUUGGCUGACUUCCUUCUGACCAGACAAAGUGAAACUCCAACGUUGCCGGAUGAAUUCCUGUGUGCAGUUCUGACAAGUAACUAACAGAUUGUUGAGAGCAACCUGUGAUUGCAGCCUGGCAGAUGUGUGUGCUGUGGACUCUGAAUUAAAGACAUGGAGUUGACCACAUGGCAGGGGCCCGGGGACACAAGGACAAGGCAGCUUAAGGACUUCCCCAGCAACUCCAGUGCUUUGCAGCCCUGCUCAUAAAGAAGUAGCAGAACUUGACAUUGACUGGGGCAUGGUUUUACUCAGCCAGACUCUUGUGGGCUAGCUGCCCCUUUCUGGAAGCUGUCUAUACCAGCACCGUCCCAAUGAUUACCUUGAACCCUUCUUUGAUUCACUGCUUUUGCAAGAGAGGGGAAAACUCAAACUUCAUAAAAGUUACCAAGUGCUGCCCAGGCCCACAUGUGACACGUUGAUAUUUUGGGGCAAGGUUUGGCCAAACAACAGAACAGCAACAGUGCCUACCAGCACAUUGAAGAUUUAAGAUUGAAAAGCCUGAACAGAAUGUUCGGCUUGAGCUGGGGACAUAUUCCUUUCCUAUUUUAUCUCUGCCAUAAGCCUCGGGCUGAUUGGAAAACACACCCACUGUAUGAUUUGGAUAGCCAGGAUUUUAAGUUUAUUUCUUAGACCUGCUCAUGCACAGUCUCCCUUUCUCCCUCUCUCUCCUGCCUCUUCUUCCUCCCCCUCUCACUCUCUCCCCAACUUUUUGGGGUAGAAUCCUGAAAUCUGCUCUUCAUAUUACUGGUAAGGAAGCACUCUCUCUCUUUAUAGAACAGUGCUAACUUCUCUGACACAGACUCUAGGACCCAAGUGAUUUUUGUAAAUGCAAAUCUAAUAUCGCUCUUCUUUGCUUAAAACCCUUCAUUGAAUUCCUAUUGCUCUGGAAUAAAAUCCAAACCCUUGAGUAUCACCUAUAUCAGCCCCUGUCUAGCUUGCCAGCCUCACCUUUCACCUGUCCUGUCCAUGAUCCCACCCUCCCCAUACUUAUACAUGUACCCUGUGCUCAAACUAAACUUUGAUGGUCAAACAUGCUAUGUUUCUUUACCUCCAUGUGCUUUCCCUUACAAUUGUGUUGUGUUCCAGCAACUCCAUCGAUUUUUUCAUUCAUUCAUUCAUUCACUCAUUCAUUCAGUAAGCACUUACAGAGGACCUUCUGAAGGCCAGGUACUAUUCUAAAUCCUAGCGAUAUAACAGUGUGCAGACAAUGGUAGUAUACAGACUCUACUCUCAAGGACUUUACAGUGCUAACUUGCCAAUCCUAUUUACCUGAGUGGCCUCAGCUCACUUAGAUUUGUUUCUUCUUGGAAUCUCUCCUGACCUCUCUCUUCUGAGUUAGACAUCUUUCCUUUGCUUUCUUCCACCUGUGUUUUUCCCAUUAGAGCACUUAGAACCAGAUGCCAGAAUUUUGAGCCCUUUGAGAGGAGAGGAAAUUUCUUGCCCAAGCUGAUAUGUAGUAGAUGCUCAUUAAAAAUCUGGUGAUCAGAAGCAUUUAGGAUGCAUUUAACACAGAAAACUAUGUUUUCUCUGUAAUCAUUUCAAAUAGAAUUCACACUCUGUCAACAGCUUGGCAGUGGUCUUUGGUCAAUAGGAGGUACUGAUUGUAUAGAUGAAAAGUUUAAUGUUAGUCCCAUGAAUGCACCUUUAGAGGUAAUUUUUUGCCCUGGUUGCUUUUAAAAGUUUCUUUUGUGUUCUGCAGGGUCACGAUAAUGGAUGUAUAUGGGGUUUUUGGUGUGCUUAUUCAUUCUGAUAAUUCAUAUUUUCCUUUCAUUCUGGAAAAUUCCCAGACAUCAUCUCUUUUCUGGAUCCCUUUGAAACUUCCUUAGGAUGUAUGAGUGAUCUCAUUGUCUUGUCUAUUUUGCUUCUCCUUCAUAUCUUUUAUCUCUGUUCAGCAUACCUUUCUGUUCAACAAUCUGGGGAGUUCCCUUGGUUUUUCCUUCAGGUUCACUAAUCUUUUCUGUAAUUUGCCAUUUAAACUGCCCAUUGGACUUUCAAAAUGGUGGUUUAAUAUACAUGCAAUAAUGAAUGUAGUGAUGGUUUUACAUGUAGAGACACUCAGGGUCUGAUCACUCAGAUCAGACAGAGAAUAUCGCUGAACAGAGAACAGCUCACCCAGGCAGUCCCCUCCCAAAUA